rnacentral:lncRNA from 1 species
AAAGACCAGGAGCCUUUGACUACGCCCUGGCAAUGGUAAGUACAGAGGUGUUAUAUACACAUAUACAUAUAUAACAGGAAGACCAGGUGCUCGAUGCUACGCCCUGGCACAGAGUUACUGGGACUAUGUGGUGACAGGUUUACUCUUGAUGUGGUUUAUCUAUGUUAUGACGCAUUCCAUCAGAUCAUAUUUUAAUGAAUUGUUUUACUGUUCUACUCACUGGGCUAUAGAGCUCAUCCCACUCCCUUAACCCCAGUCUUGCAGGUUCAGUAUACAGUGUACAGGGAAGGUUCAGCAAGUGCAGAGUGCCAAAAGAGUAAAGAGUAAAGAGAAUUGUACUAGUGUAAAGUGGACAUGUAAUAUAAAGAGAUGUACUAGUUGUGUUUUUAGUUAUAGAUGUGC